rnacentral:rRNA from 1 species
AGCCAGUUCCCAUCCCGAACACGGUAGUUAAGCUUCUCUGCGCCAAUGGUAGUUGGGGGCUUCCCCCUGCGAGAGUAGGUCGCUGCCGGGC